rnacentral:rRNA from 1 species
CAGUCGCCGCGGGAAUACGAAGGGGGCUAGCGUUGUUCGGAAUUACUGGGCGUAAAGCGCACGUAGGCGGAUAUUUAAGUCAGGGGUGAAAUCCCGCAGCUCAACUGCGGAACUGCCUUUGAUACUGGGUAUCUUGAGUAUGGAAGAGGUUAGUGGAAUUGCGAGUGUAGAGGUGAAAUUCGUAGAUAUUCGCAGGAACACCAGUGGCGAAGGCGGCUAACUGGUCCAUAACUGACGCUGAGGUGCGAAAGCGUGGGGAGCAAACAGGAUUAGAUACCCGAGUAGUCCCUGUCUCUUAUAC